CCAGCCAUAGGGUAAUUGGCAACCCUCAUGCUUUGGGAGCAUGCGAUUGCAGGUUCGAGUCCUGCUGGCUGGACAA
rnacentral:tRNA from 1 species